UAGAUUUUUACUCCUUUCUGACAAAUUAAAAAGUGUUUUUUUUUUUGAUUGCUUUCUUUAAAGAAAGUGUAAAGAGAAACAAUUCCAAAAAAACAGAUACAGGGAAAAAAAACACCAUAAGCUUCAGAGCCAGAAAUACAACUUUCUUCUCCCAGAUCAGCAUCUAAGUACACCAAAAAAUUGGAUAAAGUCUACAGGCAUUUAUUACGAAGCUAGGUAUCAAUUCCAGAACAAGAUUCAUGGUAAUAAUUCUUGUUUAAUAAUACGUAUGCAGUAGUUUCUCAUGAGAAAUUUAAAUUUAACUUUCUUUGUAUAAUGAUUCAUGAACGAAUUUGGUUUUGUUGGCAGGCCUGCAUUAAAGAAAGUGACUUGCACCAAAAGGGAAAAGGAUAUUUUAAGAAUGUUUGCUAGUUGUCUAUUGUACCAGAACCCAGAGCAGUUUCUGCUGGGAUGUUAUUUUUAAACUCUGUUGCAUUUAUAACAUGCAGGCUAUAUGACUCAUCAAAACUUAAAAGAAAAGAAAAUCUUUUUUCUGUGUUCACUUUAAAGAUAUUGGUCUAACUUGGCAAGCAGAAGUUAUCUGAAAGCACCAGAAGGACAGCAUUGUUUCAAGACUAUGCAAAUCAAGUGUGGGAAAGUUGCACCUUAAGUAAAUAAGAGCACUAGUGCAUGUCUGGGCAGUGAGUGGGAGGACAGAAUGGACUUCAAAGCACAGCAGCAAAAUUCUGCAUUCAUCAGAGCCUACUGACAAGAUUUUAUCCCAGCUAUUAACCUCUCAGCACUCGGAGCCUGGCUCACAAUGGUCAACUGGCCCACUCUCCCCAUCUUUCCAUCUAAUUCAAAGCAACUUUUAACAACUCUGGGUUUACUUUUACCUCUCUCUGAACAGACAGAAUAUUAAGACGAGCAUCUAUUCAAAUUGCAGGUAAACUCAGUCAGCAAGACAUGCUGAUAGUCUGUUCCUAUUCAGAGUCGUGCUUUCUCAUUCUGAAAUUACUUCGGAAGUUGCCAUUCCCUAAUAAACAUGUUAAACAUCAGCUCAGGUAGAACAAACAGCCUGGGAUUUUUCAAACACCAAAGCUUUGCACUUGCCAGGUCAGCUCUAAAACAAGUCUCUCCUUCCUGCUUGUCUUGAAGUUCUGCACCAAAGGGGAAAUCCUGCCAUUGAAGUCAGCAGCAGAACUGCCAUUGAAGUUAAUGGGCUGGGUUUUCUUCCCAAGGGCAAAGAUGUGGAUACUCAGAGAAACACAUCUGCUAAGUAGCCAGUACUAGUCAGAUCUCUCCAAUAUUUUAAAACAAGGCAGAAACUAGUCUUCUCCUGCCCCUAGUUCUCUGUGCAAUAAGUUACUCACUGUCCCAUCAAUCCUCAGCCCUGUUAUCAGGGCAAACUGAUCACCGAAUCGCAGCCUGAAUACGAAGCAUUCGAGUCCUAUCCAAGACUACUGAUAAUUUGGGGUUCGGGCACUCGUC